rnacentral:rRNA from 1 species
GACGAACGCUGGCGGCGUGCUUAACACAUGCAAGUCGAACGAAGAGCGAUGGAACCUUGCUUCUAUCAAUCUUAGUGGCGAACGGGUGAGUAACGCGUAAUCAACCUUCCCUUCAGCGGGGGACAACAGUUGGAAACGACUGCUAAUACCGCAUACGAUCCAAUCUCGGCAUCGGGACUGGAUGAAAGGUGGCCUCUAUUUAUAAGCUAUCACUGAAGGAGGGGAUUGCGUCUGAUUAGCUAGUUGGAGGGGUAACGGCCCACCAAGGCGAUGAUCAGUAGCCGGUCUGAGAGGAUGAGCGGCCACAUUGAGACGGAGACAAGGCCCAGACUGCUACGGGAGGCAGCAGGGGGGAAGCUUCCGCAAUGGACGAAAGUCUGACGGAGCAAGGCCGCGUGAGUGAUGACGGCCUUCGGGUUGUAAAGCUCUGUUAAUCGGGACGAAUGGUUCUUGUGCGAAUAGUGCGAGGAUUUGACGGUACCGGAAGAGAAAGCCACGGCUAACUACGUG